CUCAUUCUUAAAAUCAUUAUUAAAAUAUAACACUCACAUUUGUAACUUUCCUAAAAACUGUGCAAUAUGAAGCAUUUAAUCCCUUAAAGACACAUGACGUGUGACAUGUCAUAAUUCCCUUUUAUUCCAGAAGUUUGGUCCUUAAGGGAUUAAAGGAACACUAUAGCGUUUGGAAUGGUCACCUAAAUGGUGAAAAAAUUUAACUUUUUUAGUGAAGCAUUUAAAGGAACACUAUAGCGUUCGGAAUAGUCACCUAAAUAGUGACUAGAGCAAGUGGUGCUUACCUUAAAUCAAGCUGGGGCUACCUCGGCACUGGUGACCUCUCCUCCUCCAUCAACGACAGCUCCUGGGAGACAGCCACUAGAGGCUAGAUUAACCCUGCAGCUGUAAACAUAGCAGUUUCUCUGAAACUGCUAUGUUUUCAGCUGCAGGGUUAAAACUAGGGUGCCCUGGCACCCAGAUAACUCCAUUGAGCUGAAGUGGUCAGGGUGCCUAUAGUGGUCCUUUAAAAGAUCAUGCAAAGCUUCAUAACUGUAUAAUGCCAAAAAAGUGACCUUGCAUCCCUCAUUGUAAAUAUCCAAAAUAUUUUAGAAUAACUUGACUCCUUACUUGGGGUUUCUGAACUCUUAGCAGCCAGGUUGGUGGAAGGCCUUUGGUGCAGGCCUAGCUCAUUGGCUGAGAGUGUCACCCGAUCCUUGUCAGCCAAUGAACUAAGCCCUGAACCACCAGCUUCCAGCUGGAUAAGGGUCAGGAAGUGUUGCACAGUGGACCAAAGAUAAGAAGACAAACCAUUCUAAAAUGGUUUGACUACUUACAAUGGAGGAGCACCAGGGCACUCCUGUGGUGGUUAUGGUGCUCGGAGUGUUUGUUUAGAGUUGGCCAUUUUUUAAAGUGGAGGUAUACAUACUGUUUACAUACAAUUAAUAUUCUUUAAUAAAUCACUUUGAUUGUUGAUAAUGUAUUUAUAU